rnacentral:rRNA from 1 species
UACAGAGGGUGCGAGCGUUAAUCGGAGUUACUGGGCGUAAAGGGCGCGUAGGUGGUUUUUUAAGCUGGAUGUGAAAUCCCUGGGCUUAACCUAGGAAUGGCAUUCAGGACUGGGAGACUGGAGUACGGUAGAGGGUAGUGGAAUUUCCGGUGUAGCGGUGAAAUGCGUAGAGAUCGGAAGGAACACCAGUGGCGAAGGCGACUACCUGGACUGAUACUGACACUGAGGCGCGAAAGCGUGGGGAGCAAACAGG